GCCAAAUGAAACAAGUCACUUCUGCAAGGAGUUUGUAUGACUUUCCAAAUGAGGAAAAAGUCAAAAUCUCAGGGACUGUGACAUGAUUGCUACAGAAGAUGAAGAAAACAUGGCCCAGCAACCAGCUUCAUGAGGAAAGAGGACCACAGCUUUCCUUCAGAAAGCAUCAGGCUUCUGAAAUCCCAACAUUCAUUCAAGUGGAUGUAUUAGAAGAAAUGGUGAUAUGUAAGGCAUCUACUCACUGGGAUCUUACCCCUCGUUGCAAAGCAGCCACAUGGUUUGGAGAAUGUCCAGUCUUAAAAUUAAUGGGUGAGUGUGUUCCACAGAGAAAUAACUCUAACCACAAUUUGGCUAGACCAUAAAGUGUUUUUUUUUUCUAUUUUUUUUUCUUGCUUUUGGCAUCUGGAACCAUAUUUCUAAUGGAUUCACUUCCCUUGAGACAGGUAGUGAAAGAAAGGUGCGUAGUCCCAAACUGGAAACUUAGGUUGUUUCUUUGCUUUCUUUUCUGUGACUUAAAUAGUAUUAAUUACUUUGUAAGCAGAAAAGUCAAUUGUCUUACAGCCUGACAGCAUUUGGUUGUGUUCCUGAGAUGUGAGUCUUUGUGCUAAGAAGAAAUUACAUCCAGCCGGGACGUGUUCCAACACUGACAACAGCCCUGGGAUCAAUGCUGUAAUGGCUUUUGGCUCUCACUUCCCUUGAACGUGGCUUGUGUAAGCUCAAAGACCAUGUUAAACACAAGGCAGUCCAGUACGUUAAGCUGGCUUUGAAAUGAAUCAAAUGUAAAUGAAUAAAUCAAAGUAGCAUGUUGCA
rnacentral:lncRNA from 1 species